AUGGUAGUGACUGCACACUUCAUUGAUGAAGAUUGGAAGUAUCAUAAGAAGAUUAUUAAUUUCAUUAUGGUGAAGGGCCACAAAGGGAAGGAUCUUGGGAAGAACUUGCAGAGAUGUUUGAUGGAAUGGGGGCUAGAGAGAGUUAUGACAGUCACCAUGGAUAAUGCAAGCAACAAUGAUGGCUGCAUUAUUCACUUGAGAAAGUGCAUGGUUGAGGCCAAAACUAGCAUAGCUGCUGGAAAGUUUUUGCAUAUGAGAUGUGCGGCACAUAUUGUCAACCUUAUUGUACAAGAUGGCCUAAAGGAAGUUGAACUUUCAAUCAAACAUGUCCGAGAUGCUAUGCGAUACAUCAAGAAUGGGACUUCUCGGUUGGUAAAAUUCAAAGAGCUAGCAUUGGAAGAAAAAGUUAAGAGCAAGGCAUUCUUGAACCUAGAUGUAUGCACUCGGUGGAACUCAACUUACAUAAUGUUGAAGGCUGCCAUCACCUACCCGAAGGUGUUUACAAGGUACUGUGAGGAUGACCCAUUGUAUGCGUUGGACUUGUCUGAACAAAAAGGAGGAUUUGGGUAUCCAGAUGAGAUGGAUUUGGAAAAUGCUAGGAAAAUGGCUGCCUUUCUUGGUCAUUUUUAUGAUCUUAUUGUUCGCGUGUCAUCCUCACUUCAUGUCACUUCCAACAACUUUCUUUUCGAGGUUGGCAAUAUACACAUAUUGGUUCAAAAUUGGAUGAGCAGUACAGAUCCUUUGCAAAAAGCUAUGGCAGAGAGGAUGAAAGAAAAGUUUGACAAAUACUGGGGGUCAUGGCAUGAGAAUGAAAAGGUGAAGGAGAAGGGUCCUAUUGUAAAUGAAAGAGGGAAAGGGAAGAAGAAGGAGAAGGAGGAGAAGGAGAAGGAAAAUCUCAACUUGCUCAUUUUUAUUGCUGCAGCUCUUGAUCCAAGGUAUAAGCUUUCUGAUUUCACUAGGCUCACUACUUUGGAAAUAUUUGGUGUUGAGUCUGGAGAGAAGGUGUGGUAUGAUGUCAACAAAUGUGUUCGCGAGUUGUUUGAAGAAUACCGAGUAAGAUUGACUACACCAGAACCAACAACACCAGCCAUUAGCCAAGUAACAAUAGGAGGAGGAGCAAGUAUGAUGAAGGAACUAAUUGCAAGUAGGUUGAGGCAAAAUAAUAGUGGAGGAAGUGCAAGUAGUAAAUCUGAGCUUGAAAAAUACCUUGCCGAAGACUCUGAAGACCCUAACAAAAAAUUGACAUCCUAG
rnacentral:rRNA from 1 species